rnacentral:lncRNA from 1 species
GAAAUAUUUUCAGAAAUGAAAAGUGUCAAACUGGUCCCAAUGUAUUUUUAAACAGCUAAGAGAAAUAUAUGAAAUUAUAGAGCUCAUUUUGAAACUAGGUUGUCAAAUCUAGUUCACUUCUGAGUGUAACUGACAAAGUUUACCAAACAGUAUCUAAGCACAGCUUGAAUAACAGGAUGAUGAUACCUAGGAUAGCUGAAUUAAUAUUUUAGUUUUGAGUUUCUUAACUUCUUUUUGCUUUUGAUGACAGUAGUUUUCAAAAAACUGACAAUUUUCCUACAUAUUUCUAUAUUUUCAGUUUUAAAUUGAAUUUUUGUUUUAUUUUUGAAAUUUCCUUCAUCCUGAUUCAUCAUCUAACACCGUGUAUCUUUUAAAUACAUACAUAAUCUAUAUAAUCUAGUUAUAAUCUAACCAGUGUAAUGAUUGUAUCCUUCCAGUGCAUAAAUUAGAAACAGAAAAUGAAUCUUUCUGUUCCUGGAAGUGAGAAGAAAAAAACUUGCAUCUACUUGUUAAGGGCCGUGGUUGUGUCCACAGCUCUUUGUAUGGUAUUUUGCAUUUAGAUUUGAGUGACAAAGCAAUGGCUGCUCCAUCAAAUCUUGCAUCAACUUUCACAUGUUGAAACAAAACUCCUGCCAAACAAAUAUCCUUUUCUCAUACCCUAAAUGCAUUAGCAAUAUCUACUGGACACUGAUCUCAGGCCUCAGAGAAUGUACAUUACCUACGGGGACUUUACAGACAUCUGCACACACCAGCCCACAUAAUGGAAGCUGGGCUGUGUACUCAGACUGCACAUUGUUGGUGAGCAAGGAUACAAUGGGAGCAGCACUCCUAUUCCAUGUGGUGGAUGAACAGUGUGACCUUCCCAUCUAUAGAAUGGCACUGGAGAAGAUCCUGGGAGCUACAAACUGGUGUUUAUGGCUUCUAUUUCUGGUAAAAUGGACUGCUAGGGAAAAAGUUGGCCCAGCUUCCGUAAAGUGAAAUCUUGCUAACCUGCUGGUAUCUGAGGGGAGUGUCAAGAGUUACCUGGAUAAAAGGAAUCUGUCUAAUAUAUAUAUGUACAUAUAUAUAUGUACAUAUAUAUAUAUAUACACACAUAUAUGUAUACAUAUAUGUGUGCAUAUAUAUAUAUACAUAUAUGUAAAAUUCUAUGUCAAAGGUUAUUAAAGAAAACAAGUUGCCACUGGAAUUGGAGGGAAGGCUCUUUUAUGAAUUGAAGGUUGAUUAAAGAAUAGGAGGUAUAUGGUAAGAUUAAUAAUCAGUCACUUCUCUAAAUGAGGAAGAAUCAGCGGAGUCUCCUGUAGACCGCAUGGAACUAGUUUUGCCAGUGUCUUCAGCAGUAUGACGGGAAUAAACAGGGACAUUUCCUAGUCUGCA